AGUGAACGCUGGCGGCAGGCCUAACACAUGCAAGUCGAACGGCAGCGGGUCCUUCGGGAUGCCGGCGAGUGGCGGACGGGUGAGGAAUACAUGGGAAUCUGCCCAGUCGUGGGGGAUAACGUAGGGAAACUUACGCUAAUACCGCAUGCGACCUUAGGGUGAAAGCGGCGGACCGCAAGGCGUCGCGCGAUUGGAUGAGCCCAUGUCGGAUGUAGCUAGUUGGCGGGGUAAAGGCCCACCAAGGCGACGAUCCGUAGCUGGUCUGAGAGGAUGAUCAGCCACACUGGAACUGAGACACGGUCCAGACUCCGACGGGAGGCAGCAGUGGGGAAUAUGGGACAAUGGGCGCAAGCCUGAUCCAGCCAUGCCGCGUGAGUGAAGAAGGCCUUCGGGUUGUAAAGCUCUUCUGUCCGGAAAGAAAAGCUCUCGGUUAAUGCCCGGGGGUUCUGACGGUACCGGAAGAAUAAGCACCGGCUAACUUCGUGCCAGCCGCCGCCGUAAGAC
rnacentral:rRNA from 1 species